CUGGUUUCGACGUGGGUGUCAAAGCCCCAGGUGCAUGCCGAGGGAGCAGUCUUCCUCGUUAAUCCGGCUGCAAACUUUAGCUGCCAACGACGACAGCUACGCCCUGGCCGCCUAAGGCUGGGCCUCUGACCGGAGCCGCGCCUGUGCGUCCGGAGACCGCUUCGGCGGUCGCUCAGGGGUAACCGCUCGCAGGAUCGCGGCGAAGCCCGCCCGGGGCCGAGCCGUUAAAACCCUUACGGGCUCGCCGUCGUGCCGCCCUGCCCGUCGGGCGGUCGCCGGUCAAAACCAAUGACUGGGCUAAGCAUGUAGAGCCGAAGGUAGAGAGCUUGCGGACGUGGGUUCGAUUCCCACCGCCUC
rnacentral:tmRNA from 1 species